GCUGGCGGCGUGCUUAACACAUGCAAGUCGAACGAUGAACCACUUCGGUGGGGAUUAGUGGCGAACGGGUGAGUAACACGUGGGCAAUCUGCCCUGCACUCUGGGACAAGCCCUGGAAACGGGGUCUAAUACCGGAUAUGACCGUCUUGGGCAUCCUUGACGGUGUAAAGCUCCGGCGGUGCAGGAUGAGCCCGCGGCCUAUCAGCUUGUUGGUGAGGUAAUGGCUCACCAAGGCGACGACGGGUAGCCGGCCUGAGAGGGCGACCGGCCACACUGGGACUGAGACACGGCCCAGACUCCUACGGGAGGCAGCAGUGGGGAAUAUUGCACAAUGGGCGAAAGCCUGAUGCAGCGACGCCGCGUGAGGGAUGACGGCCUUCGGGUUGUAAACCUCUUUCAGCAGGGAAGAAGCGAAAGUGACGGUACCUGCAGAAGAAGCGCCGGCUAACUACGUGCCAGCAGCCGCGGUAAUACGUAGGGCGCAAGCGUUGUCCGGAAUUAUUGGGCGUAAAGAGCUCGUAGGCGGCUUGUCACGUCGGGUGUGAAAGCCCGGGGCUUAACCCCGGGUCUGCAUUCGAUACGGGCUAGCUAGAGUGUGGUAGGGGAGAUCGGAAUUCCUGGUGUAGCGGUGAAAUGCGCAGAUAUCAGGAGGAACACCGGUGGCGAAGGCGGAUCUCUGGGCCAUUACUGAC
rnacentral:rRNA from 1 species